CGGACGGGUGAGUAACGCGUGGGUAACCUGCCUCACACUGGGGGAUAACAGUUAGAAAUAGCUGCUAAUACCGCAUAAGCGCACGGUUCCGCAUGGAACAGUGUGAAAAACUCCGGUGGUGUGAGAUGGACCCGCGUCUGAUUAGCCAGUUGGCGGGGUAACGGCCCACCAAAGCGACGAUCAGUAGCCGGCCUGAGAGGGUGAACGGCCACAUUGGGGCUGAGACACGGCCCAA
rnacentral:rRNA from 1 species